rnacentral:tRNA from 1 species
GCGGAUGUGGUGGAAUUGGUAGACACGCUAGCCUUAGGAGCUAGUGCCAGUCUCUGGCGUGAAGGUUCAAGUCCUUUCAUCCGCACCA